rnacentral:lncRNA from 10 species
GCGCAGGUGGAGAGUGAGCCUGGUGUGGAGUUAGCCACUUCUCCCCAGAGGAAGGCAAGGAUGUGGAGGGUGAAAGCGGGCUCGCAGACACGAAUAUGACCAACGUGAUGCAGUGUGACUCUCAGGAUUAUGUAGUUAUAUAAGACUUGGUCUGUUUGAAAGAUUUGAAGAAGCCAGCUACCCUGAGGUCUACAUCUUUCCACAGCCUUGGUGUUGGAACCUAAUCCUCAACGUGGUGGUAGGUUUACCACCUGAAGCAGAGAACAGCCCUCACCAGAUACUGAACCAGCUGGUGCCUUAACAUUGGACUUCCAGCCUCCAGAACUGUGAGAUGUGACAGCCAUCACACCCACUCUGAAUUUCCUGACAGGCAUAAUAGAAUUGAAGACACAGUGGAUAACGACAGAGCCUCGUGUACUGCUAACAGAAUAAAUUACCAGAAAUAGAGCUUGGCUCGGUACAUCACAUGUCCUCAGACCAAGAACAACUAUGCUGGAGAAGCUGUAUUUCCUUCACCAUCACUGAGGAGCCUCAUCUGCACCUGGAAUGAAUUAAGAUAUCAAUGUCCUAUUUUGACUGCAUGCUGUUUAGAAAUGAGAUUUUGAGAAGUCUUAGGAUAGGGGUCUCACUCUGUGGCCCAGACUGGAGUGCCAUGGUGCAAGCACAGCUCACUCGGCUUCAACCUCCUGGGCUCAAGCGAUCCUCUCACCUCAGCCUCCCAAGCAGCUGGGAUUACAGGCACACACCACCAUAUCCAGACAAUUUUUGUAUUUUCUGUAGAAACAGGAGUUUCACAGUGUUGACCAGGAUGGUCUUGACUCCUGGACUCAAGUGAUCCUGCCACUCCAGCCUCCCAAAGUCCUGGGAUUACAGAUAUGAGCCACCAGGCCCAGCCUGACAGAACAUGACUUCUGAGGGUAGGUCAUAAAAGACAUUGUGACUUCCAGUUUGCUCUUUGAUCACUUGUCUAAAGGAAGUCAGCUGCCAUGUCUCAAUGACACUCAAGUGGCCCUAUGGAGGGGCCCAAAACAGCAUCCUCCCACCAAUAGCCAUCGAGGAACUGAGGAACUGAGGCCCUUUGCUAAUAGCCAUGAGUGCACCAUCAUGAAGUAGAUCUCCUGCCCCUGUCAAGCCUUCAGAUGACUGCAGCCCCAGCUGACUGCUCAACUGCAACCUCAUGAGAAACCCUCAGCUAGGACAACCCAGCUAAGCUAUUCUCAAAUUCCACAGAAACUGUGAAAUAAUACAUGCUUAUGUUUUAAGCAAUUAAGCUUUGGUUAAUUUGUUACACAGUAAUAGAUAACUAAUACAGCUGGCUUAUCAGGCAUGUGUAGUUUAAGACUUUUCAUACAGAUUGCAAAAUUGCCUUCCUGAAAUGUUAUGCCAAUUUACACUCCCACGAAGAGUUGCAUAAGAGUGCUCAUGUUCUCAGUCCUUCCUCUUGUUAAGUGCUACAUUUUUAAUUUAUUCUUUCUGAUAUUCUUUAUUCUUUCUGAUAGAAAAUGGUAUCUUAUUACUCUGAUUUAUAUAGUUUUAAAGUUCAAUGAGGUUGAACGUUUUUCAUAUAUUUAUUAUCUGUUUUGUGACUCUCAAUCAAAUGCUGUGUGUGUGUGUAUAUAUAUAUAUUAAAUUGUAGUGUUAAUUUUUUUCAUUCCUUGAUUCCUAAGGUCUAUUUGGCUUUUAACAUCUUAUAUCUACCUGUUACUAUGUUGCAAGUAUUUCUCCUAGCUUGCCACAUAGAUAUCCUUAUGUGGGGGACAUGAAGAUGUACUGCCUGCAACCCUUUCAAGGAAGAUUUGUGGCAGCUGUCUCUUGCCUCAGUUGCAGAGAGCUGCCUUGCCCAAGAGUAUGCUCUUCCUGUGACCCAUAUCCAUUGAUCAAUUGUUGUAGGGUAUAAAGGUCCAGCCAUUUCAGCCCACCAUGGUCCUGCUCUGGCAAGCCAUUGACACUCCCGAGCUCUCCACAGGGUAGCAUUGCUGAGCUGCAUUGUAGUUCGACCACUCCCCUAAAGAAACCCUGCUUCCUUCGUCUCCUUUCCAUAGGUGUCGAUCUCUAACAAACACGGUGCCCAUCAAAUUUCAACCUAGCAUCUUUUUCUAGAAUACUUAACCUGUGACAUCCUGGAAAUUAAUUCCUCAACUUGUAAUUGAUAUAAUAUCUAUAUACCUCUACACAUAAAUGUAUUACUCUUAAAAAUAAUUUAUUAUGUUUUUUCAUAGGGGAAACUGGUUCUUUUAUAGAAUGAUUAUUGGAAUAAAAACACAAAAAGUUGAGUGUUAUUUAAAAACACAAAGUCUUUCCCUAUCAGCUACUAUGCAAAUCCAUUAUCUAUAUUACAUUUCUUCAAAUAAAAUCACUUCCUUACCCUGCGAUAUCUCCCCUGUCACUUACUAUCCCCUUUAUCUUGUUUUUUUUUCUUCACAGCAUUUUAUUUGAGUAUCUUUUACAUCUGUAUCUGCCUCCCCAGCACCUAGAAUGGAACAUGGCAUAUAAUGUGUUCAAUAAAUAUUGAUUGAAUGGAUAGAUGAGUAGAUCAAUAAAGGAGUAAGUGACA